rnacentral:rRNA from 1 species
AUUGAACGCUGGCGGCAGGCCUAACACAUGCAAGUCGAACGAGUGGCGGACGGGUGAGUAAUGUCUGGGAAAGUGCCCGAUGGCGGGGGAUAACUCCUGGAAACGGUAGCUAAUACCGCAUACCAUCGGAUGUGCCCAGAUGGGAUUAGCUAGUAGGUGGGGUAAAGGCUCACCUAGGCGACGAUCACUAGCUGGUCUGAGUGGGUGACCAACCACACUGGGACUGAGACCCGGUACAAACUCCUACGGGAGGCAGCAGUGGGGAAUAUUGCACAAUGGGCGCAAGCCUGAGGCAGCCAGGCCGCGGUUAUGGAGAAGGCCUUCGGGUUGUAAAGUACUUUCUGCGGGAAAGCGUGACCCGCAGAAGAAGCACCGGCUAAAUCAGUGCCCGCAGCCGCGGUAAUUC